CUGGCACAUGGAAGGAUGUCAGGAUUGGGGCAUGGGAAGGAAGGAGACUCACUCACCAGAGGCUCCAACUCGGAAGGAAAGGGAAGGCAGAGGUAACAGUACACGCCAAGCUUGGAGGAGAGGCCGCCACUUACGGACUGUGAAGGGAACCCGGCCAUUGUGGUGAAAACGGAGGUGACAACCAGGAGGGUGAGCCCCAGCCUCUGCCAGCCAGCCGAGAGCCAUGGACCCCAGAGGGAGCUGCUCUUACCUGUCUUUUCCUUCUGGGAAGUAAGGGGUUAGCUCAAGCCAUCCCCGGGAGGGCAUUGAUGUGUGCUGGUUGCAUAAGCAGAGAGCCAGUGCCUGCCAAAGUGCUCAGAUGCCACCAGUGCUGACCACUAAGGGGAGAGGGAGCCCUAAGCCACCUUCUCCCCGUAAGGGAACCCCCGAGAGUGGAAUUUUCUGUAAAAUACUGGAUUUUGAAAUGUGUACAAUAUGGUGGGGCGGGGCGCUCACAUUUUCCCACACUCCCUCUUUCUGUGCAGGAAGCCUCCUGGCUGGCAGAGACUAGAGUGAGAAUCAGCCCAUCUCCCUUUACUUGGGGUUAGGGUAAUGGGUACAAACUAAGGUGCAGCAAUCUGAGUUAAACAAACAAACAAACAAAAGUUUGGGAAGGAAAUGAGGCAGAGGCACUCCCUGCAAACUGUGGGAAAGCAGCCUGGUGGAAUCCACUUGCUGGCACUGGUGGCUCCCACUAGACCAGGGAGAAGCAGCUGCGUGGGUAGACGGGCCUCAGGCCACCAGCUGCCAGGGAGAGACAGCUAAAGGGCCUGGAACACCCACUGGCUCCUCCUUUUCAGAGGCCUCUCUGUCCCCUACCUCCCAGGGAGUCCUCGGCCUUCUCGCUUCCAGAGAGAAACCAAGGCUCUGGCCUUCCUGCCUGAACACAGUCUCCAGGUUUCUCCUCAGAGAGGACCAGGCUCACACUAUCCUGUUUCCCAGAGGAGACAGCUCUUGUCAGUGGGGUCUUGCCAGGCCUGUUGGCUCCCAGGCCCCCUGUGGCCUCUCUUCAUCCCUUUCAGCCUGUUCCAAACCGAGCAGCUGGGGACUUCAGUCCAAGGGUCAUAUUUCCAACCCUGUUUCUCUGGAACUGCCCACACUGAAUUUUGUUCCCUAUGUGGUAUGUGAGUGGAGAGGACUUACGGGUGUUUGAUACAGCAAGGAGCAUGUGAAAUAAUAGCCACGGUUUACCAUGGACCUACUAAGUGCCAAAGAGCAGCAGACAUGACCAUUCCCAUUUUAUAGAUGAGGUAACUGAGGCUCUUAAAGUCCAGUUCACUUCCCCAGGUUCCCACAAGAGAGCAUUAAGUAAUGGAGAGGAGGGCACUCCUGUGCACAGACCCCCUCAGUGAGCAAUCCCAUGGGUGGGUAACAAUACCAUCCUGCCUCCUAGUGGCCAGGCCACUGGCUCAGCUCACUACAGGGCAGGGAGGCCUCUCCCCUCUCCUGUCAUCCCAGGGGCCAGACAGCUGAUUAUUUCAAGAAAUGGCCUUGACCAGCCACUCUGGGGCACUGAGGUCUCGGAGCAAAUGGAAGCAGCUGGCUCCCAUUCUCAGACCUUGUCACCUCUCACCCAAGGAGUGGCUUGGACAGAGCCAGGGGCACACCCCUCACCCACGCUGACCAGGUGGAACACGAUGCUUGUUGACUCCUGCCUGGUCAGGGGCAACUGUGGCCCUCACCCUACAACCCUGGCUCCCCCGGUGGCGACUGGCCACAACCACCAUUCCUGAUCGUUCAGCUCUGCAGAUGCAGCAUGGAAACUGUUUGUAUUUGGGAAGUGGCCCCAGGGACAAUGUAGUGAUUCGCACAGCUUAUCACCUGGAACCACUUCCUUUAAUUUUGUAAGUCAAGGGAGAUGCAGAUGGCAGAGCCCUUCAACCUGGCAAUCCCUUCCCAGUCCUGCCAAAUUUUGAUUGUUCAUUGGAAUUUGCAGGCGAAUACUAACACACACAAGUAGGUGCACUAACCCAUGACUCUCCCAGUCCUAGACACCGACACCCUUCCUCUAAGAGUGCUCAUAGCUCAUGCUUGUCAUGACAACUAGCUAAACAAAGGUUUGUCUCUCCUUCGCCUGCAAAAAGCACGUUUCCCUGUUCCGGGACUGUGUGUCGUCAGGUGUUGCAAGACUCAACAGGAGCUCUUCCAGCCCUGGUGGCUUUGAGUGGCAGGGACAUCCUCUGCUGGGAGUGAGGAAUUCUCAUGUGGUCCUGGCCCCUGCCAUCACUGCUUCUAGAAUGAUCUCAGAAACACAGGAAUCCUGAUUCAAAACCGAAAGUGUGAACACUAGCUGCUGCACCCUACACCAUGAAUUUACAUAUCCGUUUUCACCGCAACUCUUAUAUUGCUUAAAUGUAGAAAACAACUAUUUGUGACACUCUUAGAUCUUUUAUCUAAGAAUCAUAUUUAAUCUAAUAUACUUAAAUAUGCACUGUUCCCUCCAACCUUGAUGACACCGGGCAUGCGUUGAGAUCCCAGCAAGCCUUGCCUUUCUAGGGGUGGACCUCCACCUUCCCUCCCCGCCUUGCAGCUCAGGUUCCUAUUGAGAAAACCAAACAAUUCAUUAUCGUGGAAGCCUGCGCCUGUGUCUACACAUAAAAUUAAGAAAGAAUCAAUAAAAUGUGACACAAGUAACUUCUGAUUCCAGCAGGUGCUGUAGGUCAUAGGUAGAGAUCAAAACCAUCACGUCCUUUAAUAUUUUAUUAGACUAGACAGAUGGCCCCCUUCCUAAAAAUUGGUAUUCUGAUAACAUUAUCAAGAGCUACAUGGAAAAAUGUUUUGUGCCUAAGGGACCACAAAUAAAUACAUGCUUAAGUGCAACUAAAGAAAUUUAAUUAUGUGUAUGAACAUUUAUACUAAAUGGUUUCUCCGGGAAGCCAAUGGGAAAUUACAGCUAACAAGUGCACCAGAAUAAGGUCUGUUGUUGAGGGUUAUUAGCCUAAUCACAUAAUCCAAUUCCACUUCCAACCACAGUCCUGUCAUUUGUCCAAGUCAAAAUAAAACCAUUGUCAAACCUUAAUGAAACCAGAACCGGGGGAGGGAAUCGAGGACAAAGUCUUUCUUUUUAAAAACAGGCUUCUAACCUAACUUUUCUCCUAGUUCCAAAAACAGUUCAAAGAUCUGAACUGUCUUUUAAAAAAAAGGGGGGAGGGAGCGCCUGGGACUUCAAUCCACAGAUAUUUUUCUUUACAAAAGUCACCAAUAAAAGGGGAAGUAAACAGAUUGGUUUUGCUCUCAAAAUUUGGCGAGGCAAACUUGUUCCAAGGCUGAGGUGUUUCUCGCCAGCUUUAAACCCAAGGUGCAUUUUUAUAGCCAAGAACCAGGGCCCUGAAACGGAGUAACGGAAACGCUGACCUAGCCUUCGCUCAGCAGCACGGACGGCGCCGCUGUAAUUUAUGGAGAACACAUUUUGGUUUUGUCAGGUUUUUAAACAGAGACUGUUAUAAAUUUGAAGAAGCACUGUCCUGUUAGGUCUUCAAGCAGCAUGUGUUAGUGUUGUUAAGCGUCCAUCCUCCGUGUAGAGCGGCGUUCCUGUCUGAAGCCUCAUUGCAAUGGCAGUUCACCCCAUCAGCGAGAGAGAAUGCCAAGCCCAGAUUUGUUCUGAAAACGGCGUUCACUGAUGGAAUGCAUCACAGCCAUUGUCACCAUGAUGGUGACCAGCUGCAAGGCACUGGCAAAGGCACCCAUCUUUGAGCAGAGUUCUCCUCAUGCUUUCCUUGGGAAGCAGAAGGUAUAUAACAGGGUUAUUGGGGACACUGAGAGGCGGAUCUCAUUCUAGCCAACGGGAACGGAAUGCUGCCCUCUAGAAUCUCUGGUUUUGUAGAAAGGUUGUUUUGCUUUGUUUUUACUCAUGUGUGUGUAUAUAUGUGUGCAUGCACAUUUUCAGGUGUCCUUGGAAAACAGAAGAAGGCAUCAGAUUUCCUUGGAGCUACUUACAGGAGGUUGAGAGCCAUCCAACAUGGGUGCUGGAACUGAACUCAGUCCUCUGGGAAGGUGACCAGUGCCGUUAACCCCUGAGAGCCCUCUCUGUCCCUCAUGCAAGAUUUUGUUUAGAGUUUUGGCUAUGAACGUUAUGCAUUCCCAAGAACACAACCUUAUUAGCAAUAGGGAGAGAAGCCUUGACAAUUACUCACACAGCAGCCAGCAAGGAGCUCCUUCUGCUCUUUUGUGGAGACUGUUGGAUGGGGAAGAAGUAGAGAGGGGUUCGUCAGGGUCUAGGGACAAACACAGAUCACCUCUUCACAUGGGAUUGAUUUCUGUAGGGGAAGGAAUAGGUUAGUGGGGAAUCCUGAAAUCCAAGCCAUCAACCACUCUUCUAUGCUCCUGGCUAAUGCUUGCCCAUUGUAAAGAGGGUGACUUGUGAGUCUCAUGAAGGAGCUCUUCAUGAUGACUUCCCAUGCCCAUUAUGGGCUUUUGAAUGCUCUUGUUUUCUGAAGCAGUUGUCAUUAUUGCAAAAUAGACAGUAUGAUCAACAUAGAGAUCUGGAACUUGGACUUCUGUUUCCCCUAUCAUUUCUUAAACUGAAGCCCUGGGAUUUGAACUCAGAGAUCCACAUCAUGAUGUUGGUAUGGCAGACCCUGGUAAGGAGCAAGGCCAAGGAUCAACUGGUCAGUAAGAGGAGCAUAAAGAAGGGUAGAGGGAGAAGGAAGAGAACACUAUGAAAAAAUUAGCCCAACUAUGACAUGAAUUGUGAUGUGUCCAUGCCACAUAAGAAAGGUGACCAUAGAAGUCAUGAUUCUAGCUAACAUUUAUGGUACACUCACAGGGCUGUGAAUCCUUGAUUUCACUCUUGUAUUGGAUGAGGAACUAAGCCUUCACCAAGGGCAGUUUUCCAAGGUAAGCUUCAUUUCUAGGACAGCUCUACUCUAUAUCAUGCUGUGGAUUAGUUAUCAGCAGUGUUCUAUCUGUGCCCAUAGUGUUGAGUCAUCAUGGCCAGGCAGGGUCACACCACCAGAAUUUGGACUCCUACAGUUUGACACCAUUAUGUUGCAUAUUUGCUACAAAAUUUUGUGUGUGGGGGUGGGGAAAUAGAGAGCAAAAUUGAAUGUGUAUAUCAUUGUGAUUGUGUAGGCAGAAGGAAGCAUGAAUAUGAUUAGGUACAGACAGGAUUCUAAAAAGAAUUCUUUCUACUUUAUAUGUUUUCUAAAUUUUCUUCAGCUCUAAUAUAUGACUUUUCUAAUGAAAAUAAUGUUUUAAAAAUUUAGCCAUAAACCUGUAGUAUUUUAUAGACUCUAUCAGAAAGUCAAUUCAAUGAAGCCAAAAAUAAAUGAAGAAGGAAGAGAAGAAAAUCCCUUGAGCAAGAGUCAUGAAACCAGAGACAGGAAUCUGUGACUACUCUACCUGGCCUGAUGUCCCUCUGAGCUCAAACGCCAUGUCCUUGAACCUCAAAAGGGUCAACUCUGAGGAAGAACACUUGCCAAUGGCCACCAAAGAGAGAUUCCAAUCACGAAAGACAUUUUAUACAACUGGAGUGAUUUUAAAACAGGUAGAACUUAGAUGAUACAGAGGCCUAGGGUGUGCUGGUCAUGAAGGAAAACUGACCAGAAGAUAAUGUACUUCAGGUCAAAAUGAGAAAAUAUGUAAAGAUAAAAGAUUGCUUGGAAGGUGUGUACUUUAUAACAAAUGAAAGAAAAAAGCUGUAAUUACAAGGAAGUGCACAUUAAUACAUUGCAAGUUGGUGAGGGCAACUUCUCUUUUGGUCUGCAGCACUGCUAAAUUAAACAUGGGGCAGUUGCUAAUAUUUGCAUCAAACAAAAAUUCUAAGGAAAAAUGUCAACAAACUGUCAAAAUUCCACUUAAUAAGUAAAAGCGCCAAUGGGCAGUAUGGCAGUUUCAUUCACAUGCCUGUGAGCUACCUGGGGCAACCCAGCAUCAUUUAAAUACACAGGGAUUGAGUUAUAUACACAUAAUUAACUGCAACUCAAGUAAAGGAGAAAACUAUCCAAAUCUGCAUUCAUCUUUAUUGGCUUUUCCACUGGUCAUAAGCAAUUAGUAAUCAGAUAACAGUCAUCACACUAAGUAUCACUUCACGUAAGACCUCUCUCUAAACAAUCCAAUUGAAAUCCAGGUGAUCUAUCCAGGGGCUGUGGCUCUCAAAUGGGCCAUUUUAUAACCUAGGCACAGGUUAAUCAUCCUUAGCCUCCUUGGUGGGCCUUACCCAAGCUGCUGCUUACUGCUGACUUCCCAGCAGCCCCUGUUUUAUGGUUAGUUAAUUAUUCUUUACUAACAUUAAUGUACUCUGAAACUGGGACCAUCAAAUAAUAUACUGAAAGAGAUGUCAGUUCUCUUUUAUUGUUGUUGAACUGUUUUUUUCCCACACUUAGAACAAUUUUUGAGGGGAAGGAGAGGGAGCUGGGAUUGACAUGUGAAACAAGCUUAUUUCUAAUUUAAGUAAAAAAGAAUUGUUAUAAGCAUUUGUAAAAUAUGUUAACAUGUAUAGGAGCAGUUAACCCAAAUGAUACAGUCUUAUCUCCAUAGAAUUAAAAAAAUCAUAAUGGGUUUUUUGAGAGAACCUGAAACAUUUAUUAUUUUUUAAUUAUUUAACCCGAGGGCUGUAUAUAAUUGAGACCUCACAUAUAACAAUCUAGAGUUUUGGGUAGUGUUUGGGAUUAUAUCUGAUUUUCAAAGGUAUUUUUUAAGCUGUUAACCCUCACUACUAUCAUAACUUUAAUGAAAAACAGACUCAUGUAUUUCCUCAAUUAGUGAUGAAAACAAUAUACUUGGGUAUAUAUGUUCAGUUCCUAAGUUAAAAAAUAAAUAACUAGCUACUUUAGAUGUCCAUUAAAUUCUUAAUGGAGGUGAUGAUAAAAAAACAAUUUUUGUUCAGAAGAACCCUGAUGAAUACAUAAAUUCUAUCCAUUUACUUUACCUAGAGCUUUUCCUGAAUGUCCAAGGGGAUUAAAAUUAACCUCUAAAAUAUACAGUCCAUUGCUAUAGAAGAAAAUCUAGUAAAUCAGGAAAUCAAAGAGGGUAUGGGACUGACAAAACAUUAACCAAGAGUUUAACAUGAGUCCACACCCUCCAGGAAUUCGUGCACACUUACUGAAGUGAAGCUCUUUGUCAGUCUACCUCUGAACUCCUAGGACAAAUGCAGUCAGGGAAAUAGGAUUGAUCAUUAACUGAUAUAUCAAAUAUACACCUUAGACAAAAAGAUGCUGAAUUGUAAUUACUGAGCAGGAGGUCUCAAAAGCAAACAAAAAAGUCCCUAGAGUUUUCUCAUUGGAAAACAUACCACCCAGCCUCACCAACAAACUUUAAGGGAGAUCAAGGUCAAACUGUAGAUGAAGAGAAUGCAACUGAACUCGAGACUUCCCUGAGUUGCUAAGUCCUGCCCACCCCACUUUGCUUUCCCACCAGAACUCCUGUCUCUAAUAGAGCCCAAUAGAACACUGCACCACCCAGCUGUCUGAGCCCCUGAAGAUGACCACGUGACUAAGUGGUCUCUCUGGGUGAAGGCUGAAGCUCCACUGGUCCUCAGGACACAGAUAUGUGGGUGGCCGGUGUGUCUGGAGAAAGACUCCAAACAAUAUUCUAGAAAAACCCUAAACUCCAUGCAUAAAAGAGAGAUUAUUAUCUCUUUUGUUUCACCCAUAGCUCCUUAAACUUUGGGUCACGGCCCCGUAAUGAAUGAGAUGAUCCUCUAGAAUUCGGCAACAGCAAAAGGUUUUCUAAAGGUGUGUGAACAAUAAUAAGGCUCUCGAUGAAUCUCAGGAGUUUCAGUAGCUGUGACCCUGUGGGAUCAUGUGACCUUACCAUGACCUUGGUCCUGAGUCCGCAUGUGAACUUUAUGCUGUGCAAACCUCUGCAGUCAACAAUGCCUGAUACACUUUGGUUCAGAUCUGAUGCUAUUUCAUGGUAAGGGCAGUGGUGUUCCCGUUGACAGAGACUACUCUUACCAAAACAUGAUAGUUUAAUCAAAUAAGACCAAGGCUUAAAGAAAAUCUCCUACCAUCAUUUCUCAGCUUCUGAGUAUCAAAUUAGUAUGUCUUUGGACUGCUUUAUGUUAGAAUGUUUGAAUUUUAAAAGUCUGCUUGGUUACUGGCUUGAGUUUCUUCGUUAAAAAAUGUUAAAUUAAUUUUGACGUGGGAUCCAGACAGCAUUUCCAACCUUUUGUGAGACGGCCCCUUUGUACUCUGUGUUCCUGAAAAGUGGCAAUCUCAGCACUGACAAUUGCAAAAGCUGAAUAUUGAUCAACUCUGGAAAACAUUAAAGAUUCCCCAUGCCCUACAGUAUCAAAUUUUCAAUCCAGAUUCCAUUCUUUAUUUAAAAGUAACCCAGCAGAUCUAUCUUGUUAGAAUACAAAUUUGUGUCCAUCUUUAAUAAAUGGCAUAAGUGCAUGUAUGGCAAAGUUUUGUUUCACAAUAAAUUUCUUGGUGAUUUAUUAUCA